rnacentral:rRNA from 1 species
UACGUAGGGCGCAAGCGUUGUCCGGAAUUAUUGGGCGUAAAGAGCUCGUAGGCGGCUUGUCACGUCGGGUGUGAAAGCCCGGGGCUUAACCCCGGGUCUGCAUUCGAUACGGGCUAGCUAGAGUGUGGUAGGGGAGAUCGGAAUUCCUGGUGUAGCGGUGAAAUGCGCAGAUAUCAGGAGGAACACCGGUGGCGAAGGCGGGUCUCUGGGCCGAUACUGACGCUGAGGAGCGAAAGCCAGGGGAGCAAACGGG